UACGGAGGAUCCAAGCGUUAUCCGGAUUCAUUGGGUUUAAAGGGUGCGUAGGCGGAAUGAUAAGUCAGUGGUGAAAGCCUGCAGCUUAACUGCAGAACUGCCAUUGAUACUGUCAAUCUUGAGUACAUUUGAUGUGGGCGGAAUGUGUCAUGUAGCAGUGAAAUGCUUAGAUAUGACACAGAACACCGAUUGCGAAGGCAGCUCACAAAACUGUAAACCUGACGCUGAGGCAACGAAAGCGUGGGUAUCAAACAGGA
rnacentral:rRNA from 1 species